UCUUUUGCAGCUAGCAAUCACUGGGUGGC
rnacentral:piRNA from 1 species